rnacentral:rRNA from 1 species
CAGUAGCCACGGGAAUACGAAGGGUGCAAGCGUUACUCGGAAUUACUGGGCGUAAAGCGUGCGUAGGUGGUUGUUUAAGUCUGCUGUGAAAGCCCUGGGCUCAACCUGGGAAUUGCAGUGGAUACUGGGCGACUAGAGUAAGGUAGAGGAUAGUGGAAUUUCUGGUGUAGCAGUGAAAUGCGUAGAGAUCGGAAGGAACAUCUGUGGCGAAGGCGACUAUCUGGGCCAUUACUGACACUGAGGCACGAAAGCGUGGGGAGCAAACAGGAUUAGAUACCCCUGUAGUCCCUGUCUUUAUACA